rnacentral:rRNA from 1 species
GACCUCAAAUCAGGUAGGACUACCCGCUGAACUUAAGCAUAUCAAUAAGCGGAGGAAAAGAAACUAACAAGGAUUCCCCUAGUAACUGCGAGUGAAGCGGGAAAAGCUCAAAUUUAAAAUCUGGCGGUCUUUGGCCGUCCGAGUUGUAAUCUAGAGAAGUGUUAUCCGCGCUGGACCGUGUACAAGUCUCCUGGAAUGGAGCGUCAUAGAGGGUGAGAAUCCCGUCUUUGACACGGACUGCCAGGGCUUUGUGAUGCGCUCUCAAAGAGUCGAGUUGUUUGGGAAUGCAGCUCAAAAUGGGUGGUAAAUUCCAUCUAAAGCUAAAUAUUGGCGAGAGACCGAUAGCGAACAAGUACCGUGAGGGAAAGAUGAAAAGAACUUUGGAAAGAGAGUUAAACAGUACGUGAAAUUGCUGAAAGGGAAACGCUUGAAGUCAGUCGCGUUGUCUGGGGAUCAACCUUGCUUUUGCUGGGCGUACUUUCCAGAUGACGGGUCAGCAUCAAUUUUGACCGUUGGAUAAAGUCUGGAGGAAUGUGGCAUCUUCGGAUGUGUUAUAGCCUCUAGUUGCAUACAACGGUUGGGAUUGAGGAACUCAGCACGCCGCAAGGCCGGGUACUUGUACCACGUUCGUGCUUAGGAUGCUGGCAUAAUGGCUUUAAUCGACCCGUCUUGAAACACGGACCAAGGAGUCUAACAUGCCUGCGAGUAUUUGGGUGGAAAACCCGAGUGCGUAAUGAAAGUGAAAGUUGAGAUCCUUGUCAUGGGGAGCAUCGACGCCCGGACCAGACCUUUUGUGACGGAUCUGCGGUAGAGCAUGUAUGUUGGGACCCGAAAGAUGGUGAACUAUGCCUGAAUAGGGUGAAGCCAGAGGAAACUCUGGUGGAGGCUCGUAGCGAUUCUGACGUGCAAAUCGAUCGUCAAAUUUGGGUAUAGGGGCGAAAGACUAAUCGAACCAUCUAGUAGCUGGUUCCU